rnacentral:rRNA from 1 species
AUUGAACGCUGGCGGCAGGCCUAACACAUGCAAGUUGAACGGUAACAGGAAACAGCUUGCUGUUUCGCUGACGAGUGGCGGACGGGUGAGUAAUGUCUGGGAAACUGCCUGAUGGAGGGGGAUAACUACUGGAAACGGUAGCUAAUACCGCAUAACGUCGCAAGACCAAAGAGGGGGACCUUCGGGCCUCUUGCCAUCGGAUGUGCCCAGAUGGGAUUAGCUAGUAGGUGGGGUAACGGCUCACCUAGGCGACGAUCCCUAGCUGGUCUGAGAGGAUGACCGGCCCCACUGGAACUUAGACACGGUCCAGACUCCUACGGGAGGCAGCAGUGGGGAAUAUUGCGCAAUAGGCGCAAGCCUGAUGCAGCCAUGCCGCGUGUAUGAAGAAGGCCUUCCGGUUGUAAAGUACUUUCAGCGGGGGGGAAGGGAGUAAAGUUAAUACCUUUGCUCAUUGACGUUACCCGCAGAAGAAGCACCGGCUAACUCCGUG